GCCUGGGUAGCUCAGUUGGUAGAGCAGAGGACUGAAAAUCCUCGUGUCGGGGGUUCAAUUCCCUCCCCAGGCA
rnacentral:tRNA from 1 species